rnacentral:rRNA from 1 species
UGUACCCGCUGAACUUAAGCAUAUCAAUAAGCGGAGGAAAAGAAACCAACAGGGAUUGCCUCAGUAACGGCGAGUGAAGCGGCAACAGCUCAAAUUUGAAAUCUGGCUCUUUCAGGGUCCGAGUUGUAAUUUGUAGAAGAUGCUUUGGGUGUGGCUCCGGUCUAAGUUCCUUGGAACAGGACGUCAUAGAGGGUGAGAAUCCCGUACGUGACUGGUUGCCUCCGCCCGUGUAAAGCUCUUUCGACGAGUCGAGUUGUUUGGGAAUGCAGCUCAAAAUGGGUGGUAAAUUUCAUCUAAAGCUAAAUAUUGGCCAGAGACCGAUAGCGCACAAGUAGAGUGAUCGAAAGAUGAAAAGCACUUUGGAAAGAGAGUUAAACAGUACGUGAAAUUGUUGAAAGGGAAGCGCUUGCAACCAGACUUGCAUGCGGUUGAUCAUCCGAGCUUCUGCCCGGUGCACUCGAUCGUAUUCAGGCCAGCAUCGGUUUUGGUGGGCGGAUAAAGGCCUUGGGAAUGUAGCU